rnacentral:lncRNA from 10 species
UUCUGGAGUUUUCCGAGAAAGGGUCGCUAUCACCAACCAUGUGCGCGUGCACACACUCACUCUCUCUUUCUCCUUCAGAUAAUAAUGGGGUCAAGGUCAUUCCUGCCAACUGUACCCACAAACAGCCAACCCUCUGCUAUCUCAAAACACAUCUGAGUGGUGAGAAAGCACCCGCUUCAUGUUCUUCCAAACAGACAGGGAUUCUGGCUCCCUGCCCUGUAGAACACACACAUCCUCCCAUCUAGCCUAGGACAUGGUGAAUACCUGACCGACAUGGUUUCUGCCCACAUUGCUCAACGCAAAGUGCUCUCAGGCCUGUCAAGAGCCUAAUGCUCUUUUAAUGCAGUCUCUACUUGUAAGUUCUAAAAUAACAUCAUGUUAGAGCCAAUGAACCUCACAAACAGCCCUGGAAAACCUGUUCACAGUACUUCAGUCCAUGGUUUAAGUUCUGAAAAGCUCGUGAGCCCAGGUCUCUCCUUCUGAACUCAGGAACAUCUGGAUGGCAAUGGCUUGGCCUUUUACAUUAUCAUCCCUCAAAUCUAAGCUGAGGCUGGAGUGAAGUGGUUAUUCACAGGCAGGAUCAUAGCACACUAUAGCCUCAAACUCCUGGACUGAAGCAAUCCUCCUGCCUCAGCCUCCUGAGUAGCUGGAACUACAGGUGUGAGCCCCCAUGCUCAGCUUUGUUUCCUACUUUAAACACUUACCUUGAUGACUUUCUGGUUCACAAUCUCAGAGUUUUCAUCCCAUCUCUGAUCUUUCCUGUUCUCAAUAUUCUAUGACUAAAACUUUUAAUGGUGUUGGCUUUUUAUUUUUAUUUUACUUUUUUGAGACAGAGUCUCACUCUGUCCCUCAGGCUAGAGUAUUGUGAUGCAACUGUGGCUCACUGUGGCCCCAAGCUCCUGGGCUUGAACAAUCCUCCUGCCUCAGCCUCCCAAGUGUAGCUGGGACUACAGGCACACGCCACCAUGCCCAGCUAAUUUUUGUUUUUUUUAAUGUAGAGAUAAGAGUCUCACUAUGUUGCCCAGGUUGAUCUCAAACUCCUGGUCUCAAGAGAUCCUCCCACCUCAGCCUCCCAGAGUCAGAACCCAGAUCCUGGAACUCUUCUUUUCUUCUUCUAUACCACUGCUUCCUUGGUGAGUUCAGUCAAGUUUAUGCCUUUAGGUAUCACUUACAUGCUUAUAAAUCCUGAAUUUAUAGACCAAGCUAGGACAUUUCCAGGACUACAUAUCCAAAUGCCCACUUGGCAUCUUAGUCUGGGUGCAUAGCUCAAACCUCCCAUAUCUACAACUACAUUCCUGGUCUCCCUUGCUUACCUCCCCUACCUCCAAAACUGCCCCACCCACUGUCUUGCUGUAUUUUAGUGAUGGGAGCACCACCUUCUAUCAGUUCCUUAGAACAGAAAGCAUUUGUCUUCUGACUCCUCUGUUUCUGCCCAUAAGCAAUCCAUCAGUGAAUCCUAUUGAUUAUAUCCCGUCAUUCAAGACAAAAAUCUUAAGAGUCUUCUGUGAUGCAACUUUUUCAAACUCCCCAUCAAUUUCACUAGGAAAUCCUUUGGCUCAAUGUUUAAAUAAAUUCCAAAUUCAACAACUUCUCAGCACCUCCCCUGCCAUUGUGAUCCUGGCCAUCAUCAUAUCUCACUGGGAUUAUUCUAGUGGCCUCCUGACAGGUCUCCCUGCCUAUGACCUCAUCCACCCAAAGUCUAUUUUCAAAACAGCUCCCAGAGCGAUCCAUUUAAAAAGCAUGAGUGAGAUCUUGCUCUACCUCAAAGCCCCUCAAUGGCUCCCCAAUAAGAAUAUAAAAAGCCCUAAUGCCCUACUCAGUCUGGCCCUGUUACACUGUUAUGUUGUCUCUUACUACAACUUGAGUAGCCUUAAUCCAAUAUUCUGCAAUCAAAAGUGCUCCGAAAUCCAAAACUUUUUGAGCACAGAUACAACACUCAAAGGAAAUGCUCACAGGAGCAUUUCAGAUUUGGGAUUUUGGGGUUAAGGAUGCUUAGCUGGUAAUGCAUAUAUUAUAAAAUCUGAAAGAUCCCAAAUCAGAAAUAUUUCUGGUCCCAAGCAUGUCAGAUAACAGAUACUCAACCUGUACUCUUCCCUUAAGGACACUGCUUCGGCCAUACUGGCUGACUUGCUCUCUUUAGAAUAGGCUACAUCUCUGCUCACCUUACAUGGACUUACCCUGACCACCCACCACCCUAUU